GGUUUUAUUAUAUACCAUCGAUAACUUAAUACAAUCGUGCACUAUUAGCUAUUCCUCAUGGCAGUUAUGUUUUCAAUUUUUGCAAUUAAAUUUUAAUAUUUUAAGUGUACGACGUAUGGUGUAACAUCGUAUUCACAUUUUUAGGCCAACAAAACAUUUUUUGCCACAAUAUGGCUACAAAACCAUCGAUGUCAAAAUCUAGCCUGAGAUAAGCUAAAAGGCCAGCACUGAUGGCAGCGCAGCGGCAGAGAAACCGGCAGAAUGCGCCAGAGAUUUCAUACUUUCAGUCAGCUCUGUCGCCAUGUUGAGUCGAGAAACAUUCGCAGGCUGGCCAGGAAAUUUAGCGCUUACAAAUUAGCGAAAAGCUUCAUAAAUAAAUACAAUCCUACAAGCA